UACAGAGGGCCCAAGCGUUGUUCGGAUUCAUUGGGCGUAAAGGGUGCGUAGGCGGCGCGGUAAGUCGGGUGUGAAAUCUCGGGGCUUAACUCCGAAACUGCAUUCGAUACUGCCGUGCUUGAGGACUGGAGAGGAGACUGGAAUUUACGGUGUAGCGGUGAAAUGCGUAGAUAUCGGAAGGAAGACCAGUGGCGAAGGCGGGUCUCUGGACAGUUCCUGACGCUGAGGCACGAAGGUCAGGGGAGCAAACGGG
rnacentral:rRNA from 1 species